AGCGAGUUCGUUAAAGGUGAAGACACUUUGCUGGGUUAUCUACGUAUGUGUCUAUAGAGUUGCAUGUUAGCCGGCAAAUGUGGGUACUGCAUCUGUCAUUGUGUUAUGUUGGGGCAUGAGGUAAAAUGAAAUGAAAUAUAUAAAUAAAACAAAAAAAUAUAACAAAAUAAAAAGCGAAUAAAACGUCUUGCGCGAAAACAAAACGGCGGCGGCGACGUCAAAUUGCAUAGUUAGGCGACAUAUAGUGCAUACGCGCACCCUACGAGCAUAAAACGAACAACAACAGCAAUUGAAAAGUGUAACAAUUGCCGCGCAGCACACACAAUUCACCUGCAUGCACAUACACACAUGCGCGCACACAUACAUACAAGCACUAGCAACAGCAGCCGCACAAAAAAUUAACAUCUUUUACAACAAAUUCGGCGCACACACACCGCCCUACACCACCCAAUCGACCCACUCGGCAAGCAUAACUAACGACAAACAAAAACAAGACACAAUACUACAAACUACACAACACACCGGCAAACAGCCGAAAUUUACUUUAACGAACGGGCGGACGAACGCUUACAACCCACUAGCAGCGGCUAGCAAGCCAGCCACGGCCGAGCAACAUAGCCGGCUAGCCAAGCAUCCACCAGCCCAACGCAUGCGGCGGACGCGCGCGCUCGGGCAUUAGCCAAGAAGCCGAAAAAAAGGCGAGCGGCAACGAAGCACGCGUCGAGAGUGAGCGAGUGGCGAGGUAGUGCGUAAAGGCACGCAUACAUUGACAGACCACCAGCAAGCAGGCAAGCAGCAACCCACUAAACUGCUAAACUGCCAGCUUAGUGCGCCCCAAUAUGUGAGUUGUGACGGCGCUGUCGUUGUUGUUAGUGGUGGUGGUAUUGGGACGACGACGACGACGACGACGCUAUGUAUAUGUGGAGCAAAUGCUAAGCGCUGAGCGUGGAGCGUGAAACGGCUGCGUGUAUGAGUGUUUGUGUGUGUGCGCGCGAGUGUGAGUGUAUGUUUGUGGUUUGCCGCAUCGGAGCAGCUUGUCGUCUGAUAACUCAUUAGUAUGCCGACACGUUCCAAGCGGUACGGUGCGUUUCACAAACGGGGUACGAACAACAGUAGCAGCAGCAGCAACAGCAGCAGCGGCAGACGAAGCGUCCAAGUGGCAGACAAGUGACACAGGCAAAGUCAAAUUGCAAUUGUACAAGUCGAAGUCCAAAACGAAAUCAAAGCGAAUAGCCACAACAAUAAACCGACAAAUUUUUCAAUACAAAGCGCUAACGAAGAAUGAACGAAAUUUCAACACAAAUUAUAGCAGAAAAUUAGUAAAAAAAUAUAGCGCGAAAAAAUAUCUGCCAGAGCCUUUUCCGUUCGCAAACGAAGUUUAUUAGUAUUUUUUUUUUGCUUUUUGAAAGUGCAAUUUGCAACUGUGUGUUGGUGCUUUCGUGCUUCUGUGAAUACGCAAUUCGAUUUUUGUUUUUGUUGUUAAAGCCUAUAUUUUAACAGCUCUGUACGCAGGCAAAUGCCUAAGCGGCCCAGACACGCGGUUCAAGUGGUAAAAGCGCGCGCACGCGGUUCCAAAGCUAACGGUGUGCAUCUAACUGGACUACGCGUUCGGGUCAAGCGCGCCAUACCGCCCAAGUGAGGCUGUGCUAAGAUAACUAGCAGCGCAGCAACUGCAAUGUGUGUAAUGCCUCAAGUGCGCGUUGCGCUUAUGCGACGAACUUUUAAUGCAUGAGUUGCGCCGAUUCAAAGUUUCGAAUAAAAAAUCCGAAAAAAUUUCAUAAAUUAAAAAAAAUUGUAAAUUGUAAAACGAAAAUUAAAUUGUAAAAGAAAAAAUCCAAAAAAAACAAAAUUGUUUGUGCUAAUCAAAAUAUUAGUGUUCAAAAGUGAAUUUCGCAAAUUUUUUCCAAUACAAAAAUUUUAACUUAGAAAUUCCGAGCAACAACAAAAAACACAAAAAAGCUUGUGUAAAAUAAAUUCCAUAUGUUAUGCUAUAUGUUGCUUAAGAAGCCAAAUGAAAAAUAAAAGCGUGCACAAAUAAUCUGAAAGUGCACUACAACUCGAAAGUAAAAGGAAAAGCAAAGUGCAAGCAACAACAACAAGCUGAAUUAAUAUUUGCUAUUUGUGUGUAAAAAAAAAAUAGAAAAUAAAAGCAGGCAACGCGAUGCCAGCAAAAUUGUCACGCGUUAAGCGUCUUUGUGAAAAUGUGAAAAUUCGAAAGAUUCCGCCCAAGUGUCUGCUCGCCGUAGUGUUUUGGGCAAUUGUGUAAUCAUUUGCGAAGAUUGGCUGAAAAUUUGCGAAAAAAAUUGAAAAAUAUAAAAAAUUGAUUUACAUAAAAGCAAAAGUGGCUUUCUGUGGCCAAAAAAGUUUAAAUAAAAUAGCAAACUAAAUUCGAGAUUUAUUAACUACCGGCGUAACUAGCUGGCGGUGCGCCAGUCACGAGCGGCAGAUUGCAGCGACGAAAAGGAAAACAGUUUCCGCGCGACUACAGCUCCGAUUUCAUUAACGUGCGAUUCACGCUUUGCUUUGGCGCGCCGCCACCACGACCUGACUUCAUUUAAAUUAAUUUUACUUUCGGGUUUUCGAUACUUUUUGGCUCAUUUUUGUUGUUUUUUUUCAUUAAUUUUCUCGAUAUAAAUUUUCUGGAAUUUAGGUUAAACAGGUUUAGCACUUGUUGCUUACCCAGUCGUGCAUGCACAAGUGCCAGCAGCUACCACCACACAUUUAUGUGUAUGUAUGUAUGUACAUAUAUAUGCACAGCAGCACAGAUUAUACAAAGUAUUGCCGGUAUUGCAUGUGACUGUGUCACUGUUUUCGCUGCACAAAGUUCGGUUAUUCAUUAGGCGGUGACGGCGGCGCGUUGCUCAGCCCAGUCACUCAAUGAUUUGUGCAGCGACUCAGUCACUCAUUCAUUUCGACAAUACUUGAAUGCACAAUUGACCGACUGCCCACAGCUGAUUGCCCGACCGGCUAGCCAGCAGGCCGGUGCCACCUUCCGUUUGCCACACAGCCAUACAUGUGUGUGUGUCGAGUGUAUGUUUGCCGCCCCUCCCAGCGCAUUUCGCAGUUCGUAAAAUAUUGGUCAGUAAGUGAAGGUAGACAAAGCGUGCAAUUCAUUUAAACAUUUCUUGUAGCAAGUGUGUUGUUAUUGUUGUGGCAUGUUUGCUACACGUUGCUGGCUGUUGGCUGCUGUGCGUUUGUUCCGCAAUUUCAUUUGUCUCGAUUUUUGGGCAAUUUCCAAGCGAUUACUAUAAUUAAAUGCGUACAAAACGAGGAAAUUUGUGCAGCCAUUAUAAUUAGGCGGCUGCCGGAGCCAACAGUGUACUUAUGUAUACAUACUUACAUAAGUGUAUAUACUUAUCUGUUUGUUGGUUUUUGUUUUUUGGUGAUUUUUUUUAUUUUAUUUUGUUUGAUUUUAUGUUUGCUGCCUUUGGUUUUGCAGUCGCAUACUCAUGCAUACCCCUCAUAUUUAUGUACAUGUGUGUGCGUCUUGCAGGCGCUGAGCUGGCGACAAGCGCAUGUUGCAUGUUGCUGUUGCGUUUGCUUUGAUUACUUUAUGUCAAAUUGACCCUUGAGCCUGUGCUUGGUCUAAUUUGAUAAUUUAAGGUUAUCGCUUCACUUACAUUCACACACACACACACAUGCACGCAAGCCAAGUGCAAAUAACGGCAGGCAUGCGCACAUAUGCUUUUCAUCAUGUCUUCUUAAUGUUCUUUCGGCCAGCUGUUUCGCUCCUUUCCUUUAUUUGGAAUGUAGGCGUUUUAUCUUAUUCAGUAAAGGCGUGGCACCCUUCGUUUGACCGAGAAAUGUCAGAAAUUAGUGAAAGGAUUUUGUGUCAGAACUUAACAGUGCACCUUAAA
rnacentral:misc_RNA from 1 species